AAUUAUCCAGCCUCAGGUAUUCCUUACAACAAUGCAAAAUGGGCUAAUACACUGGUAUGGUUCAAUGGAAAUACAAUGUUAGCUACAAGUCCAAGAAAUAUAUCUAGUUUAAAAUUUUCUAGUAGCCACAUUCAGAGAAAAAAGAAGAAUAAGCUCAAAUUAGCUCUAAUAAUAUAUUUUGUUAAAAUACAUAUAUCUCAAAUGUUAUUAUUUCAACACGCAAUGAAUAUGAAAAUUACUUGUGAGAUCUUCCAGUCUUUUUUUAAUACCAAAUCUCAAAUCGGGUUUGCCACAUUUCAAGAGCUCAAUAGCCACGUGAGGGUAUUUCAAGAGUUCAAUAACCACAUGAGGCCAGAGGCUAUCAUAUGGGACAGUGUAGAGGCAGACCAUGGUUUUCUGAAGAAGCAACAGAAUUCUUACACUGGCCUGGAUGAAGAAAAAUUGUAAUUCAAUACUAUGUAUUCAAUUCCUGCUCAAAUCAUUAUGCUGAUAAUGAUUUGUAUGCAUGCACAUGUGUGGGUAUGCAAGUGUCACGGAAUGCAGCUAAGACAAUCUAUUAUUUAACAUUUUAUAAGUAAACUGUUAUCUCAACAGAUUUCCAAAGUUUAAAGUAUGAUUGGUUUAAUAAUUAGGCAUUGUUAUAGGACUUCACAUAAUGGUACAAUCCACUGUCAAAAAUAAUAUUUGAGUAGCUGUCCACUUGUAUAUUUCUCCACUGCAUAUUCAAAAUUAUCUAGGAGCAGUUCUUUAGCACAAUAAAUGCCAAAGGUAAAAUUUACAUGUUCUGAUAUAGACACAGAAGCAUUAUUUUAAAUUUCAGAUAGGAGAGUAACCUAUUACUAGUCUUUGUUAAGAAAUUAUUUGAAUAAUUUUUGUGAGUACCCACUAACAGUAUGCAAUGCUGCUAGGGUAAUCUUUAAGCCUUUGAGAACAAAGAAGGGGGAUAAAAAGUAAGGGCGAAAAUGGGAGAGCAAGGAAGGGAAUGAAUAAGAGGCAGAGACUAGGGGAAAAAAAGCACACAAUUUUUUGACAAACUACAUAUACAUUUGCAAUUUGAGAUAAAUUUAAGUAAUCAAAUGUAUGUAUUUGUAAUUUGAGAUUAAAAUUUGAUGACCAAAAUGACAUCAUCUGAGAGAAUUGUCAUAACAGAAUGAAAAAAUUGUUUAAACAUUAAUUGAUUAAAGUAGGUUAAAGUAUAAUAAAGAUUAGUGUAAAGUUUUAAUGUUUAAAAUGAGGUUGACUUCACCGAGAAAACACCAAAUGGCGGAUGACGCCGGGGCAGCGGGGGGGCCCGGAGGCCCUGGUGGUCCUGGGAUGGGGAACCGCGGUGGCUUCUGCGGAGGUUUUGGCAGUGGCAUCCUGGGCCGGGGUCGCGGCCGUGGACCGGGCCGGGGCCGGGGCCGGGCCGGGGCCGGGGCCGAGGCCGCGGAGCUCACGGAGGCAAGGGCGAGGAUAAGGAGUGGAUGCCCGUCACCAAGAGGGGCCGCUUGGUCAAGGGCAUGAAGAUCAAGUCCCUGGAGGAGAUCUACGUCUUCUCCCUGCCCAUUAAGGAAUCUGAGAUCAUUGACUUUUCCUUGGGGGCCUCUCUCAAAGACGAGGUUUUGAAGACUAUGCCGGUGCAGAAGCAGACCCGUGCUGGCCAGCGCACCAGGUUCAAGGCGUUUGUUGCUAUCAGGGACUACAAUGGCCACGUUGGCCUGGGUGUUAAGUGCUCCAAGGAGGUGACCACCGCCAUCCGUGGGGUCGUCAUCCUGGCCAAACUCUCCACUGUACCCGUGCGCAGAGGCUACUGGGGGAACAAGAUCGGCAAGCCCCACACCGUCCCUUGCAAGGUGACAGGCCACUGCGGCUCUGUGCUGGUGCGCCUCAUCCCUGCACCCAGGGGCACUGGCAUCAUCUCAGCGCCUGUGCCCAAGAAGCUACUCAUGAUGGCUGGCAUCCAUGACUGCUACACCUCAGCCCGGGGCUGCACUGCCACCCUGGGCAACUUCGCCAAGGCCACCUUUGAUGCCAUCUCUAAGACCUACAGCUACCUGACCUCUGACCUCUGGAAGGAAACUGUAUUUACCAAGUCUCCCUAUCAGGAAUUCACUGACCACCUUGUCAAGACCCACACCAGAGUCUCCAUGCAGCGGACCCAGGCUCCAGCUGUGGCUACAACAUACGGUUUUUAUACAAGAAAAAUAAAAUGAAUUAAGCCGGUUACUGU